rnacentral:rRNA from 1 species
GCGUCCCCAAGUCAGGCGUGAAUACCCGCUGAGUUUAAGCA